GAUGAACGCUGGCGGCGUGCCUAACACAUGCAAGUUGAGCGAUUCUCUUCGGAGAAGAGCGGCGGACGGGUGAGUAACGCGUGGGUAACCUACCCUGUACACACGGAUAACAUACCGAAAGGUAUGCUAAUACGGGAUGAUAUAUUUUAUAGGCAUCUAUAAAAUAUCAAAGGUCAGCCGGUACAGGAUGGACCCGCGUCUGAUUAGCUAGUUGGUGAGAUAACAGCCCACCAAGGCAACAAUCAGUAGCCGACCUGAGAGGGUGAUCGGCCACAUUGGAACUGAGACACGGUCCAAACUCCUACGGGAGGCAGCAGUGGGGAAUAUUGCACAAUGGGCGAAAGCCUGAUGCAGCAACGCCGCGUGAGUGAUGAAGGUUUUCGGAUCGUAAAACUCUGUCCUCAAGGAAGAUAAUGACGGUACUUGAGGAGGAAGUCCCGGCUAACUACGUGCCAGCCGCCGCCGUAAAAC
rnacentral:rRNA from 1 species